CUAUCGACAGGCUUAACACAUGCAAGUCGAGGGGCAGCACAGGUAGCAAUACCGGGUGGCGACCGGCGCACGGGUGAGUAACGCGUAUGCAACUUACCUAUCAGAGGGGGAUAACCCGGCGAAAGUCGGACUAAUACCGCAUGAAGCAGGGGCCCCGCAUGGGGAUAUUUGCUAAAGAUUCAUCGCUGAUAGAUAGGCAUGCGUUCCAUUAGGCAGUUGGCGGGGUAACGGCCCACCAAACCGACGAUGGAUAGGGGUUCUGAGAGGAAGGUCCCCCACAUUGGUACUGAGACACGGACCAAACUCCUACGGGAGGCAGCAGUGAGGAAUAUUGGUCAAUGGCCGAGAGGCUGAACCAGCCAAGUCGCGUGAGGGAUGAAGGUUCUAUGGAUCGUAAACCUCUUUUAUAAGGGAAUAAAGUGCGGGACGUGUCCCGUUUUGUAUGUACCUUAUGAAUAAGGAUCGGCUAACUCCGUGCCAGCAGCCGCGGUAAUACGGAGGAUCCGAGCGUUAUCCGGAUUUAUUGGGUUUAAAGGGUGCGUAGGCGGCCUUUUAAGUCAGCGGUGAAAGUCUGUGGCUCAACCAUAGAAUUGCCGUUGAAACUGGGGGGCUUGAGUAUGUUUGAGGCAGGCGGAAUGCGUGGUGUAGCGGUGAAAUGCAUAGAUAUCACGCAGAACCCCGAUUGCGAAGGCAGCCUGCCAAGCCAUGACUGACGCUGAUGCACGAAAGCGUGGGGAUCAAACAGGAUUAGAUACCCUGGUAGUCCACGCAGUAAACGAUGAUCACUAGCUGUUUGCGAUACACAGUAAGCGGCACAGCGAAAGCGUUAAGUGAUCCACCUGGGGAGUACGCCGGCAACGGUGAAACUCAAAGGAAUUGACGGGGGCCCGCACAAGCGGAGGAACAUGUGGUUUAAUUCGAUGAUACGCGAGGAACCUUACCCGGGUUUGAACGCAUUCGGACCGAGGUGGAAACACCUUUUCUAGCAAUAGCCGUUUGCGAGGUGCUGCAUGGUUGUCGUCAGCUCGUGCCGUGAGGUGUCGGCUUAAGUGCCAUAACGAGCGCAACCCUUGCCACUAGUUACUAACAGGUAAAGCUGAGGACUCUGGUGGGACUGCCAGCGUAAGCUGCGAGGAAGGCGGGGAUGACGUCAAAUCAGCACGGCCCUUACAUCCGGGGCGACACACGUGUUACAAUGGCGUGGACAAAGGGAGGCCACCUGGCGACAGGGAGCGAAUCCCCAAACCACGUCUCAGUUCGGAUCGGAGUCUGCAACCCGACUCCGUGAAGCUGGAUUCGCUAGUAAUCGCGCAUCAGCCAUGGCGCGGUGAAUACGUUCCCGGGCCUUGUACACACCGCCCGUCAAGCCAUGGGAGCCGGGGGUACCUGAAGUCCGUAACCGCGAGGAUCGGCCUAGGGUAAAACUGGUGACUGGGGCUAAGU
rnacentral:rRNA from 1 species